ACUGAACGCUGGCGGCAGGCUUAACACAUGCAAGUCGAGCGGAGAGAGGUAGCUUGCUACUGAUCUUAGCGGCGGACGGGUGAGUAAUGCUUAGGAAUCUGCCUAUUAGUGGGGGACAACAUUUCGUAAGGAAUGCUAAUACCGCAUACGUCCUACGGGAGAAAGCAGGGGAUCUUCGGACCUUGCGCUAAUAGAUGGGCCUAAGUCGGAUUAGCUAGUUGGUGGGGUAAAGGCCUACCAAGGCGACGGUCUGUAGCGGGUCUGAGAGGAUGAUCCGCCACACUGGGACUGAGACACGGCCCAGACUCCUACGGGAGGCAGCAGUGGGGAAUAUUGGACAAUGGGCGGAAGCCUGAUCCAGCCAUGCCGCGUGUGUGAAGAAGGCCUUAUGGUUGUAAAGCACUUUAAGCGAGGAGGAGGCUACUUUAGUUAAUACCUAGAGAUAGUGGACGUUACUCGCAGAAUAAGCACCGGCUAACUCUGUGCCAGCAGCCGCAGUAACAC
rnacentral:rRNA from 1 species